CACUAAAAAGAGAGAGAAAAGAGUCGAAAGAAAUUAGCAUACCGCAACAAUGUUCUCGCGGAAUUAUAUUUAUGCAAUUUUCAAGUAAAGCUUCAUGUACUGUGCCAAUGUUUUCUUUUGUAGUCUUUGUAGCAUUUUUAGUUCAUUCAUGAAGAUUUUGUAAGAAAUAAAAUAUUCAUUCUAAUUAAUUCUCCUUUUGAUUUUUUUUUCAAUAUUUUUUAUUCUAUUUUGUUAAUUUUUUUUUAAAUUUUAGGUGAGAGGAAAUAGCCCCAUAUGACGGUAUUAUUGUAUUUUGAUGAAUACAGUUUAGUCGUUUAGCAAAGAGAAAUAGAAGGUAUAUAAGAAAACUAUAAUUCUCAGGAAAUACAUAUUAUUCUUAUCAAUUUGACGUCAAUAAAUCAGAUUACAUGUAGAUCCGAUUUUCAGAUAAUAGAAUUUUAAUGAAAUACGGGAAAGAAGGUUUUCAUUCUGUGACAGUCAAGAAGGAAUAGAGGUGCAUUUCGAACGCAGAAUUUAUUUUUAAUUUUUUUUUUAUGGAAUUCACAGGUUAUUCAGCGAGUGUUUAAUUUAUAGCAAUUAUUGAAUUAGUUUUAGCAUUUAUUGUUCACUUUUACAACUUUAAGUUUAUUUAGCCCCACAAAUGUCGUCAUUCACUACAAAUACUACCACGAAUAGCGGAAGUAACGAGGAAAAUAAAACUACUACUACAAGUGUGUAUGUAGCCCUUUCGGAAGAUGAUUCAACGAAAGAAGAAAUCACUCGUAGUCCUUCCAUUCCUUCUAAUGCUACUUCUCAAUGGUUCUGCUUGUCUUCUGACAGAGUCAAAGCAUGGAAGCUUAACUUUUCUGUAUUUAUCUUUUUUGCAUGGUGCUUAUUGUACUACUUCAACUAAUUUUUAAUAUAUUUUAAUUCAAAUUAAAAGAAAAACAAAAUGAA